CUUUCCCCUCGGCUCUCCGCCUCCGCCACGUUUCGCAACAGUCGGCCUGGCGCUGGCUGGGGGCUGCUCACGCGGCGCCCCCCUCCUCACUCCGGGGAGUGGACGGGGGAGACCCUGGUACCUGAAGAAUGCUUCUUUUCUGGCCCUUGGGGGCUCGGGGUUCAGAAGCCGAGGACCCCAGACUACCACAGGCAGGAAGAAAGGCCUGUGUGGGGCUGGAAACCAAUCCGAGCAACCCAGGCUUCCCGCCCCCCACCCCCAACGAGAUCCUAUGCGGCCUUUUUUGCGGGGUCCCCCAACUCUGCGCAGAUGUCUGUGACUCACCCAGCCUUGCACACAGAUACACACACUCCAUUUCUGGCUGCCGGCGCCACCAGCUACAGCUCGGCGCCUCCGGAGGCUGCUCAAGGACCUGGACACCACAGCCGCAGGACUCAGCGCUCGGCCUGGGCGCUUGGCUGCCUGGAAGCCACUGCAGCUGCCCCACUCACCCCUGCCAAUUCUUGAUUUUGAGAGCAGGGGAAGGGCGGUGGCUCCACCAGCCCUUUUUGUGCCCCUGGGCAAGGGCUGAAACCCCUCUUGCAGAGAAAGCCCAGUUUCAAUAAUUGUUCAGCUCACCUUACAACCGCACUGUUUGGUUAGGGCUUUGCUGUUCUAGAGCGAUUGCUCAGUUGGCCCGACUGGCUUAUGAUCAGAAUUUUUUAACUUAAAAAUUAAAAAAUAAAUCCUA